CUCUCUGAUGCUGGAACUUACUACUGUGCUGUAGCUGCAUGUGGACACAUCAUCUUUGGAGAUGGAACCAAACUGGACUUUGCAGAGAACAGUGUUUUGGAACCAACCAACAUACUUCUGUUUUUGGUGGCAUCAAACAUCAUAUCAGUGGCCGCACUUUUAUUUAUGUGCAGAAAACAGAACUGUCACUGUAACGAUGCUGCUGAGGGUCGCAAAGUUCUGGCUGAAUGUACUAAAGCUGUGAAGUUUGCUGCGGGGAGUUUUGCCAGUGAACCAAAGAAGAUGACUGAAGGUUCUGAAGUUUAUUCCCAUGUCAUUUAUUACCAACAAAACUGAAUUUUGUAAUCCUUACAAAACAUUUUCUGCCUUAAAGGAGAACUCUGGUGUAAAAUAGACUUUUAGUGUAAUAAAACAUAAUGAAUAGCCCA
rnacentral:lncRNA from 1 species